rnacentral:rRNA from 1 species
GCGGUGGAGCAUGUGGUUUAAUUCGAAGCAACGCGAAGAACCUUUACCAGGUCUUGACAUCCGAUGCUAUUUCUAGAGAUAGAAAGUUACUUCGGUACAUCGGUGACAGGUGGUGCAUGGUUGUCGUCAGCUCGUGUCGUGAGAUGUUAGGUUAAGUCCCGCAACGAGCGCAACCCCUAUUGUUAGUUGCCAUCAUUCAGUUGGGCACUCUAGCGAGACUGCCGGUAAUAAACCGGAGGAGGGUGGGGAUGACGUCAAAUCAUCAUGCCCCUUAUGACCUGGGCUACACACGUGCUACAAUGGGUGGUACAAAGAGCAGCUAACUCGCGAGAGUAUGCAAAUCUCAAAAAGCCAUCCUCAGUUCGGAUUGGAGUCUGCAACUCGACUCCAUGAAGUUGGAAUCGCUAGUAAUCGCGGAUCAGCAUGCCGCGGUGAAUACGUUCCCGGGCCUU